GGUUUAUAAGGUCUCACAUUCCACCAUAUUCAACCAGAUCGGUCAUGAUGAAAUUGCUGCUUUCAAUAUUUCUGCUGGUGGUCUUAAACGUAGCUUGGAGCAAUGGUUCCUUAUCCUAUUCCGGCUAUGCUAACUGUGUUGUGCACGAGGACUGCAUGGACCAAAUUGCGUGCGGUGUGGGUUAUCAGCCACGUUGUUCGUUUGUACGUUGCCAGUGUGAGAAGGAAAUACAGAAACAAGACGUUACGGUAGUAACACUGUAAUGAUUUUUGAAUAAAUUUGUUACACUCCA